GAUGAACGCUGGCGGCGUGCCUAAUACAUGCAAGUCGAGCGAACAGAUGAGGAGCUUGCUCCUCUGACGUUAGCGGCGGACGGGUGAGUAACACGUGGAUAACCUACCUAUAAGACUGGGAUAACUUCGGGAAACCGGAGCUAAUACCGGAUAAUAUAUUGAACCGCAUGGUUCAAUAGUGAAAGACGGUUUUGCUGUCACUUAUAGAUGGAUCCGCGCCGCAUUAGCUAGUUGGUAAGGUAACGGCUUACCAAGGCAACGAUGCGUAGCCGACCUGAGAGGGUGAUCGGCAACACUGGAACUGAGACACGGUCCAGACUCCUACGGGAGGCAGCAGUAGGGAAUAUUCCGCAAUGGGCGAAAGCCUGACGGAGCAACGCCGCGUGAGUGAUGAAGGUCUUCGGAUCGUAAAACUCUGUUAUUAGGGAAGAAAAAAUGUGUAAGUAACUAUGCACGUCUUGACGGUACCUAAUCAGAAAGCCACGGCUAACUACGUG
rnacentral:rRNA from 1 species